rnacentral:tRNA from 1 species
GAUAGUUUUGCUAAGUAGUCUAAGGCACUAGAUUUAGGCUCUAGUCCAAAAGGGUGUGGGUUCAAAUUCCACAACUAUCA